rnacentral:rRNA from 1 species
GACGAACGCUGGCGGCGUGCUUAACACAUGCAAGUCGAACGGGAAGGCCCUGCUUUUGUGGGGUGCUCGAGUGGCGAACGGGUGAGUAACACGUGAGUAACCUACCCUUGACUUUGGGAUAACUUCAGGAAACUUGGGCUAAUACCGGAUAAGAGCUACUGCUGCAUGGUGGGGGUUGGAAAGUUUCGGCGGUUGGGGAUGGAAUCGCGGCUUAUCAGCUUGUUGGUGGGGUAGUGGCUUACCAAGGCUUUGACGGGUAGCAGGCCUGGGAGGGUGACCUGCCACACUGCGACUGGGAUACGGCCCAGACUCCAACGGUAGGCAGCAGUGGAGAAUAUUGCAUAAUGGGCUGAAGCCUGAUGCAGCACCGCCGUGCCGGGGAUGACGGGCUUCGCGUAGUAAACCGCUUUCGCCUGUGACGAAGCGUGAGUGACGGUAAUGGGUAAAGAAGCACCGGCUAACUACGUG